AAGUCGUAACAAGGUUUCCGUAGGUGAACCUGCGGAAGGAUCAUUCGUGUAAAAUUAGUGGCCGAUCGGGUUAAAUGGGGUAAUACCCGCCGAUCGUAGCUAUUCUACAUCCUUCUAACACUGUGAACUUUAUUGAAAAAUAUAAGAUGAUCUAGCAGCGUUGGCAUUGGCUCUACUCCUCGGAGUAUCCUUUGUCAAUCAGAAGCAGGCUUCUUGGGGCUUAAACUAACAAAAACUAUUACCUUAUUGCCUAAAAUUAUAUUAAAUAUUACAACCUUUAACAAUGGAUCUCUUGGCUCCU
rnacentral:misc_RNA from 1 species